rnacentral:misc_RNA from 1 species
CGCAAGGCAGCCACCCAGU